rnacentral:rRNA from 1 species
AGAGUUUGAUCCUGGCUCAGGAUGAACGCUAGCGGGAGGCCUAACACAUGCAAGUCGAACGGGAUUGGUAGCAAUACCAUGAGAGUGGCGCACGGGUGAGUAACGCGUAUGCAACCUGCCUUAUACAGGGGAAUACAGAGGGAUAGCCCAUAGAAAUGUGGAUUAAUAUCUCAUAGUUCUUUUGUUCCGCAUGGGACGAAAGAUAAAGCUCCGGCGGUUACAGAUGGGCAUGCGUGACAUUAGCUAGUUGGUGAGGUAACGGCUCACCAAGGCUACGAUGUCUAGGGGUUCUGAGAGGAUGAUCCCCCACACUGGUACUGAGACACGGACCAGACUCCUACGGGAGGCAGCAGUGAGGAAUAUUGGUCAAUGGCCGGAAGGCUGAACCAGCCAUCCCGCGUGCAGGAUGACGGCCCUAUGGGUUGUAAACUGCUUUUGUACCUGAAGAAUAGGCCCAACGAGUUGGGAUUUGCCGGUAAGGUAUGAAUAAGCAUCGGCUAACUCCGUGCCAGCAGCCGCGGUAAUACGGAGGAUGCAAGCGUUAUCCGGAUUCAUUGGGUUUAAAGGGUGCGCAGGUGGGAAAAUAAGUCAGUGGUGAAAGUUUGCAGCUUAACGGUAGAAUUGCCAUUGAUACUGAAAAGCUUGAGUACAUUUGAGGUAAGCGGAAUGUGUAGUGUAGCGGUGAAAUGCUUAGAUAUUACACAGAACACCAAUUGCGAAGGCAGCUUACUAAACUGAUACUGACGCUGAUGCACGAAAGCGUGGGGAGCGAACAGGAUUAGAUACCCUGGUAGUCCACGCCGUAAACGAUGCUCACUCGCUGUUUGCGAUACACAGCAAGCGGCCAAGCGAAAGCAUUAAGUGAGCCACCUGGGGAGUACGAUCGCAAGGUUGAAACUCAAAGGAAUUGACGGGGGCCCGCACAAGCGGAGGAACAUGUGGUUUAAUUCGAUGAUACGCGAGGAACCUUACCUGGGCUCGAACGUAUAGGGAAUUAUGCCGAAAGGUAUAAGCCAGCAAUGGCCGUAUACGAGGUGCUGCAUGGUUGUCGUCAGCUCGUGCCGUGAGGUGUCGGGUUAAGUCCCAUAACGAGCGCAACCCUUAUCGUUAGUUGCCAGCGGGUCAUGCCGGGAACUCUAAGGAGACUGCCACCGUAAGGUGAGAGGAAGGUGGGGAUGACGUCAAAUCAGCACGGCCCUUAUGUCCAGGGCUACACACGUGUUACAAUGGCCGAUACAAAGGGCAGCUACUCCGCGAGGAGAUGCUAAUCUCUAAAGUCGGUCCCAGUUCGGAUUGGAGUCUGCAACCCGACUCCAUGAAGUUGGAUUCGCUAGUAAUCGCGCAUCAGCCAUGGCGCGGUGAAUACGUUCCCGGGCCUUGUACACACCGCCCGUCAAACCAUGGGAGCUGGGGGUGCCUGAAGUCUGCCACCGCAAGGAGCGGCCUAGGGUAAAACCAGUGACUGGGGUUAAGUCGUAACAAGGUAACC